rnacentral:rRNA from 1 species
CAGGGAAUCUUCCACAAUGGACGAAAGUCUGAUGGAGCAACGCCGCGUGAGUGAAGAAGGGUUUCGGCUCGUAAAACUCUGUUGUUAAAGAAGAACAUAUCUGAGAGUAACUGUUCAGGUAUUGACGGUAUUUAACCAGAAAGCCACGGCUAACUACGUGCCAG